rnacentral:rRNA from 1 species
GCUUAGAGUUUGAUCCUGGCUCAGGAUGAACGCUGGCGGUAUGCUUAACACAUGCAAGUCGAACGGAGUACUUCGGUACUUAGUGGCGGACGGGUGAGUAACGCGUGAGAAUCUGCCUUCAGGAUGGGGAUAACAGUGGGAAACCAUUGCUAAUACCCAAUGAGCCGAGAGGUAAAAAAUUUAUUGCCUGAAGAGGAGCUCGCGUCCGAUUAGUUAGUUGGUGGGGUAAAGGCUUACCAAGACGGCGAUCGGUAGCUGGUCUGAGAGGAUGAGCAGCCACACUGGGACUGAGACACGGCCCAGACUCCUACGGGAGGCAGCAGUGGGGAAUUUUCCGCAAUGGGCGCAAGCCUGACGGAGCAAUACCGCGUGAGGGAGGAAGGCCUUUGGGUUGUAAACCUCUUUUCUUAAGGAAGAAGAUCUGACGGUACUUAAGGAAUCAGCAUCGGCUAACUCCAUGCCAGCAGCCGCGGUAAUACGGAGGAUGCAAGCGUUAUCCGGAAUUAUUGGGCGUAAAGCGUCCGCAGGCGGCACUAUAAGUCUGCUGUCAAAGACCGCAGCUCAACUGCGGAAAGGCAGUGGAAACUGUAGAGCUAGAGUACGGUAGGGGUAGAGGGAAUUCCCAGUGUAGCGGUGAAAUGCGUAGAGAUUGGGAAGAACACCAGUGGCGAAAGCGCUCUACUGGGCCGUAACUGACGCUCAGGGACGAAAGCUAGGGGAGCGAAAGGGAUUAGAUACCCCUGUAGUCCUAGCUGUAAACGAUGGAUACUAGGCGUAGCUUGUAUCGACCCGAGCUGUGCCGAAGCUAACGCGUUAAGUAUCCCGCCUGGGGAGUACGCACGCAAGUGUGAAACUCAAAGGAAUUGACGGGGGCCCGCACAAGCGGUGGAGUAUGUGGUUUAAUUCGA